GACGAACGCUGGCGGCGUGCUUAACACAUGCAAGUCGAACGGAAAGGCCCUGCUUGCAGGGUACUCGAGUGGCGAACGGGUGAGUAACACGUGGGUGAUCUGCCCUUCACUUCGGGAUAAGCCUGGGAAACUGGGUCUAAUACCGGAUAGGAGCCAUUUUUAGUGUGAUGGUUGGAAAGUUUUUUCGGUGUAGGAUGAGCUCGCGGCCUAUCAGCUUGUUGGUGGGGUAAUGGCCUACCAAGGCGGCGACGGGUAGCCGGCCUGAGAGGGUGGACGGCCACAUUGGGACUGAGAUACGGCCCAGACUCCUACGGGAGGCAGCAGUGGGGAAUAUUGCACAAUGGGCGCAAGCCUGAUGCAGCGACGCCGCGUGGGGGAUGACGGCCUUCGGGUUGUAAACUCCUUUCGCUAGGGACGAAGCUGUUUGUGACGGUACCUAGAUAAGAAGCACCGGCUAACUACGUG
rnacentral:rRNA from 1 species